UAAUACGGAGGGUGCAAGCGUUAAUCGGAAUUACUGGGCGUAAAGCGCACGCAGGCGGUCUGUCAAGUCGGAUGUGAAAUCCCCGGGCUUAACCUGGGAACUGCAUUCGAAACUGGCAGGCUAGAGUCUUGUAGAGGGGGGUAGAAUUCCAGGUGUAGCGGUGAAAUGCGUAGAGAUCUGGAGGAAUACCGGUGGCGAAGGCGGCCCCCUGGACAAAGACUGACGCUCAGGUGCGAAAGCGUGGGGAGCAAACAGGAUUAGAUACCCUGGUAGUCCACGCCGUAAACGAUGUCGAUUUGGAGGUUGUGCCCUUGAGGCGUGGCUUCCGGAGCUAACGCGUUAAAUCGACCGCCUGGGGAGUACGGCCGCAAGGUUAAA
rnacentral:rRNA from 1 species